AGUGAACGCUGGCGGUAGGCCUAACACAUGCAAGUCGAACGGCAGCACAGUAAGAGCUUGCUCUUACGGGUGGCGAGUGGCGGACGGGUGAGGAAUACAUCGGAAUCUACUUUUUCGUGGGGGAUAACGUAGGGAAACUUACGCUAAUACCGCAUACGACCUACGGGUGAAAGCAGGGGAUCUUCGGACCUUGCGCGAUUGAAUGAGCCGAUGUCGGAUUAGCUAGUUGGCGGGGUAAAGGCUCACCAAGGCGACGAUCCGUAGCUGGUCUGAGAGGAUGAUCAGCCACACUGGAACUGAGACACGGUCCAGACUCCUACGGGAGGCAGCAGUGGGGAAUAUUGGACAAUGGGCGCAAGCCUGAUCCAGCCAUACCGCGUGGGUGAAGAAGGCCUUCGGGUUGUAAAGCCCUUUUGUUGGGAAAGAAAAGCAGCAGGUUAAUACCCCGCUGUUCUGACGGUACCCAAAGAAUAAGCACCGGCGAACUUCGU
rnacentral:rRNA from 1 species